rnacentral:rRNA from 1 species
AUUGAACGCUGGCGGCAUGCUUUACACAUGCAAGUCGAACGGUAACAGGCCGCAAGGUGCUGACGAGUGGCGAACGGGUGAGUAAUGCAUCGGAACGUGCCCAGUCGUGGGGGAUAACGCAGCGAAAGCUGCGCUAAUACCGCAUACGAUCUAUGGAUGAAAGCGGGGGACCGUAAGGCCUCGCGCGAUUGGAGCGGCCGGUGUCAGAUUAGGUAGUUGGUGGGGGAAAGGCUCACCAAGCCGACGAUCUGUAGCUGGUCUGAGAGGACGACCAGCCACACUGGGACUGAGACACGGCCCAGACUCCUACGGGAGGCAGCAGUGGGGAAUUUUGGACAAUGGGCGCAAGCCUGAUCCAGCAAUGCCGCGUGCAGGAAGAAGGCCUUCGGGUUGUAAACUGCUUUUGUACGGAACGAAACGGUCCUGGUUAAUACCUGGGGCUAAUGACGGUACCGUAAGAAUAAGCACCGGCUAACUACGUGCCAGCCGCCGCGGUAAGAC